UACGUAGGGGGCAAGCGUUGUCCGGAUUUAUUGGGCGUAAAGAGCGUGUAGGCGGUUUGGUAGGUCCGCUGUGAAAACUCGAGCUCAACCUCGAGACGCCGGUGGAAACCAUCAGACUAGAGUCCGGAAGAGGAGAGUGGAAUUCCUGGUGUAGCGGUGAAAUGCGCAGAUAUCAGGAAGAACACCUAUGGCGAAGGCAGCUCUCUGGGACGGUACUGACGCUGAGACGCGAAAGCGUGGGGAGCGAACAGG
rnacentral:rRNA from 1 species